rnacentral:rRNA from 1 species
AAUAGAUACCCUGGUAGUCCACGCCCUAAACGAUGUCAACUGGUUGUUGGGGAUUUAUUUUCUCAGUAACGAAGCUAACGCGUGAAGUUGACCGCCUGGGGAGUACGGCCGCAAGGUUAAAACUCAAAGGAAUUGACGGGGACCCGCACAAGCGGUGGAUGAUGUUCUUUAAUUCGAUGCAACGCGAAAAACCUUACCCACCUUUGACAUGUACGGAAGUUGCCAGAGAUGGCUUCGUGCUCGAAAGAGAGCCGUAACACAGGUGCUGCAUGGCUGUCGUCAGCUCGUGUCGUGAGAUGUUGGGUUAAGUCCCGCAACGAGCGCAACCCUUGCCAUUAGUUGCUACGAAAGGGCACUCUAAUGGGACUGCCGGUGACAAACCGGAGGAAGGUGGGGAUGACGUCAAGUCCUCAUGGCCCUUAUAGGUGGGGCUAGAAACGUCAUACAAUGGCCGGUACAAAGGGUCGCUAAGCCGCGAGGUGGAGCCAAUCCCAUAAAGCCGGUCGUAGUCCGGAUCGCAGUCUGCAACUCGACUGCGUGAAGUCGG